CGGGGUAUGGCGCAGUCAGGUAGCGCGCCUGCUUUGGGAGCAGGAUGUCGGGAGUUCAAAUCUCUCUACCCCGACCA
rnacentral:tRNA from 1 species